GGACUACUCGGGUAUCUAAUCCUGUUUGCUACCCACGCUUUCGUGUCUCAGUGUCAGUAAUGGUCCAGUAAGCUGUCUACACCACAGGUGUUCCUCCUGAUAUCUACGCAUUUCACCGCUACACCAGGAAUUCCGCUUACCUCUCCCAUACUCUAGCGAGCCAGUUUCCGCCGCACCCUCCCAGUUAAGCCGGGAGAUUUCACGACAGACUUAGCUCACCACCUACACACUCUUUACGCCCAGUAAUUCCGAACAACGCUUGCUGCCUACGUAUUACCGCGGCGGCUGGCAC
rnacentral:rRNA from 1 species